GUUCAACUCACCUGGUAGCCACUUCCAGAGCCCCUGGAACUCUGGCCUAAGGCUCUCUGACUCCUUCCCAGAUCUUCUUGGCUUAGCGGCUGAAGACUGACGCUGCCCGAUCGCCUCAGAAGCCCCCGAGACCAUCACGGAUGCCGAGCUUCGGGUAACUCUCACAGUGGAGGCGGUUGCCACAUCACCUUGCUGGAAACCAUUACUUCUGUCAGGUCUCUGGCCUUGUGCUUCAUGAGUUUGUCCCUACAACCUUGAGUCUGGCUGUAAUGCUUUGGCAGCUCUGCAUACUUUGGUGGUCAUUUGAUCUCCCUGAUACAAGUAUUGUCCUGGGUGCUUAACUAACCCUCAUUCUUCAUAUAACUUCACCCACUACAUCUGAUUGACAUGAAGAUCCUGAAUCCACGUAUUGAAAUGCAAUACCUGGAUACUCAACGUGUAUAGAAUAAAAUACUGAAAUUGAUGUAUUUUGGCAUGACUGGCAAGUUGCCCACCUCCUUGGCUCCUGCUACAUCCUACAUUAUAUUUUAAAGUUCUAAGGUGAAGGUGCUGGAGUAGUUACAGAACCCCAUGUACACCACUCUCCUUCCUGGCUCCAAACAUUAGCUCUUCCCUCUCCCUGGGAUGCCCUUCCUAACUUUAUUUAUCUGGACAAAUUAAACAGACACUUUAAGAUUCAGCCUAUAACUCACCAUCAAUGUGAGAUACUCUCUGGUCUUCCUUUCUCUAAAUUCCUCUGGAAAAUUUGGUUACUUUUAUCAUGACAUUUACCAUCUCGAAUGGAAAAAUGUAUCCUGUUUCUAAGAAGUGGUUCCUUAAGCAAGUAAGGACUAUAUCAUACUCAUACUCAUUGUUUCUUUCAUUUCAGUCUCAAGCAAAAUGCCUGGAAGACAUAACAGUCAUUCAAUACAUCCUUGUUGACACAGGAGGUGCUCUGAAUUUUUUUUUUUUUUUUUUUUCUUUUCUGAGAUGGAGUCCCACUCUGUUGCCCAGGCUGGAGUGCAGUGGCGUGAUCUCAGCUCACUGCAAGCUCUGCCUCCUGGGUUCACGCCAUUCUCCUACCCCAGCCUCCUGAGUAGCUGGGACUACAGGCACCUGCCACUGCGCCCAGCUAAUAUUUUUUAUUUUUAUUUUUUUAUUUUUAGUAGAGACAGGGUUUCACCAUGUUAGCCAGGAUGGUCUCAAACUCCUGACCUUGUGAUCCUCCCGCCUCGGCCUCCCAAAGUGCUGGGAUUACAGGCGUGAGCCACCGCGCCAGGCCUGAACAUGUGUUUAACUACUCAGACCUGACCAUGUUUUGAGUCUCUAAUUUGGAGUUUGUUUGUGGUUUUGAGGACUGAGAAGGCUGCCAUGUUACUAAGUUGCCUCCACUUCUUUAGUAUGACAGGAAACAAACUCUACCAAAGAGACUCAGAAUAGACAAGCUUAAGUUUAUUCUACCCACUUUGUUCCUGUUCUACUGCAUAGGAAAUUUUCUCUCCACUAGUUCCCCUGAAAAGUGGUAACUCUCAGUUAUACUUAUGUGUUUCACAUUAUAUUGAAUGCUCUUUUACAUUUACUAAUAUAUCUCCCCUUUUCUUUUGCUCCCCUUUUUUUCCUUUGUUUUAUAGAAUCCAUCAUCACCAUGUCCUCUGUAUUUUCCUAGUGCCUGAAUGCCACCUUUGCCUUCUCAGAACAACCAUUCCUUUUCCAAAACUGUAUAGCUAAAUGUUUUAAAAAACAAAAUGUAAAUGUUUUAAAAAAACAAAAUUGAAGUUGCUGAAAGACUCCCCCUUAUACCUGACUCCAAGAAAAGUGGCGAAUUCAUCUGGGCUUUCACUGUGGCUACAGUGACCUUAAUGGCUUGAAGUGAUUUUCCAGCAUUGUAGCUCAAAAAAGAUCUGUCGCUAGUCCAUUCCAGAGCCCUUUAUAAAAGUGAGCUAUUCAUUAACCCAAAAAAGGAGAAAGACAGAAUAGUUAGAGAAAUCACAUAUUUGACCUAGCAGAAGCUGUCUCUCUGGAAAAUUGCUGAACUAUAUCAGACAAUGUGAAAAUCCAUUCUUAAACCUUAAAAAAUGUCCUUUCUCUGACAUAUUUGCGUAAGACACUUGAGCAAUCCUGUGAAAACUAUCCUCAGUGGUUUCCUAAAGUGUUGAGUGCUGGCAGAAUCAGAGGCCAAUUUCACCCUGUUCACACCUUCUUCCUUAGGUGCCAAUUGCUAUUCCCCAGCCCUGGGUCUCUACCAGGUCUCUUUUGGCAUAUCCCAACCCAUCUGUCAGACACAUCAAUUCUGGGUUGUCUAAGUCUGCUGUUUUAUCCAGGGAUUUAAAAGCAUGUUUUACAUUAACUUAGCUGCCUAAAAUAAAAAUUGAACUUUGUGCUCCCUCUGCCUGGGGGAAUCAGUUUUAUAAUGAGUGAUCACUGUAAAAAAGUUUCACUGUAAAUUCCUGAUUAGAUUGUAUAGUUCCUCCAAUAAAAAGAAAACUCAAAGCAA
rnacentral:lncRNA from 1 species